rnacentral:rRNA from 1 species
AUUGAACGCUGGCGGCAUGCCUUACACAUGCAAGUCGAACGGCAGCACGGGAGCAAUCCUGGUGGCGAGUGGCGAACGGGUGAGUAAAGUAUCGGAACGUGCCCAGUCGUGGGGGAUAACGUAGCGAAAGUUACGCUAAUACCGCAUACGAUCUAUGGAUGAAAGCGGGGGAUCGCAAGACCUCGCGCGAUUGGAGCGGCCGAUAUCAGAUUAGGUAGUUGGUGGGGUAAAGGCUCACCAAGCCGACGAUCUGUAGCUGGUCUGAGAGGAGGACCAGCCAAACUGGGACUGAGGCACGGCCCAGACUCCUACGGGAGGCAGCAGUGGGGAAUUUUGGACAAUGGGCGAAAGCCUGAUCCAGCCAUGCCGCGUGCAGGAUGAAGGCCUUCGGGUUGUAAACUGCUUUUGUACGGAACGAAAAGGUUUGGCCUAAUAAGCUGAGCUCAUGACGGUACCGUAAGAAUAAGCACCGGCUAACUACGUGCCAGCCGCCGCCGUAA